GUUAGUGUGACAGCACUGUGGCCACCGGGUUUACGAAGACCGUCCCUCCCAGGAAGACACCAACCGACGCCGCCUCCUGCUCCUCCCGCCUCGUCGCUGAGGAGGGCCGUCCCGGAGAACAGCCUACUGUUCAGCGAGCGGGUUAGCCGGCUUUAGCCUCUUCAACAUCUGAGAGAGUGGGAAAAACACGCACAUUAAUGUCCAGACAACGUGACUGCAUGCCAUGAACGACGAGAGCCACUAACGUUAGAUGGCUGAAAGAAGAAGAAGCAGCAGCGAGCGAGGCUGAAAAGGACCGGUGGUUGAAACCAACGCUGAUUUGGGAUUUCACCCAGAAAUACAACAAAACAGCAAGGUUUUCCACGGAAUAAGAAGCCAGACUUCAGGCCAGAAAUCCGUCAAAGAAACAAACACACAUAAAAAAACUUUGCUGGGAUGAGUGCUUUGUGCCUUGGGGGUCCAGGUUGCACAGAAACGCAGACGCAUCAGCAAUAGUUAUUGCAGCAGAAAGACCACAGUGUGUGUUUGCAGCCUCUGCACAUCACUCCAUUCCACCACUUUCGCCUUUCCCUGGCACAGCUUCAUCCCUGGAUCAACCAUCGUGAUAAAAGGCUUUCCAAUCAGAGAGACAUCGGACAAUUUGGCUUGUGAUUACUUCUCCCCAAGAUAUGUUUGCCUUUUAUCUUUGUGUUUGAUUGUUUUUGAAUCUCUAUGGGUGCAGAGUGCAGCAGGACUUCUUCAUUAGUUGUUGGAUUUCUAGAUUCUGUAACAGCCAGGCUUGGCAGAACCCCUUUACUGCAGAAGUGACUGUACUCAGCAUCAUGAAAUCUCAUGCUUCCCCCUGAGUGUGAUGAAUUUUCUUUUUUUUUAUCUCAUUGAGAUUUUAAACAUUUUAUCCAAACUUUUGAAAACUUUGUCGGAAUUGUGCCGAGGAAUUUCAUCAGAGGAGUGUGUUAAACUGCUAUUCACCAAGAAGCAGACAGUGAAACAGACACAGACAAUGGACUGAAAGGGGUGAAAGAGGAGAUGAGAGAUCUUGACACGAAGAGAAACUAGGCGAGCUCAACCUCGAGAGAAAAGCAAGAAGAGGAGUAAAAGAACAGAAGAGAGAAAACGGCAGAUAACAGGAAGCGAGCAGCGAAGGAGAAAAGAGAGGCAGAUAGGUAUCUUUUGGUCUAGGAUGGCUAGAGACGUGAUGGAACACCCUUCAGGCCAGACCUCCUCCCUUCUCCUGCUCCUCCUCCCUCUCUUCCUCCUCCCAUCUUCCCUCCCUCUCUCCGCUGCUCUCAACUAGGUUGGCAGCUUUUCUUUUUGCUACAUCGCUUCAGAGAGACAGAAAAGGAGAGAAAGCAGAGCGCUGGAGCCGAGCUCAACAUUCACACAAAUGGCAGAGAAUACGAAAGGGACCUGCUGCAUCCGUCCACACCGUGCACUGGAUUUCACUCAAGAUGGACAUUGCAGUUAAUCCAAAAAAUAAAAGACGGAGGGAAAAGAGAGAGGAAGACGUAAAAACAGCUAAAGCCAGAGAAGUUAGGAAGUAAAGAGGGAGGGAAUGAACAAAGCACAGAAAGGUGGAAAAAGAAGAGACUGUGAUCGAAGCUGAAGGAGAGAUCACCUCUCAUUGAAAGCAAAGGAAGCUGUGUGGAAUUCAGCUGUGACUCGCGUGUUUGCGCGCGCGUGUGUGUGUGUGUGUGUGUCUGUCUGUGUGUGUGUGUGUGUGUGUGUGUGUGUGUGUGUGGGUCGAGGCAUUUCUGUGCGUGAGACGAACACAGCUGUGAAGAGAGGCGGGAGACGGAGAGUAAGCGUAGGAGCAUCGCUGAGUGCACAGCUUGACUGUGAGACAAAUUGACUCUGACACAUUGUCCUCCGUCAGAGUGUGUGUGUGUGUGUGAUCUCCGGCUCCAAAGUUUUAGUCAGGGGGUCGUCCCAAUCACGCUGACCAGGCCUUGGUGGUCGUUGCGUGGAGGCGGCAGCGCAGCAGGUGGUGGUGGG